rnacentral:misc_RNA from 1 species
CUGCCUCUCCGCUUCAACAUGGUUUAUAGGCAAUUCUUCGCCGUUUAGUUGCUUUCUUCCUCUUUUCUUGAACCGAUCGGUAUUUCCAGCAGUAAAAUUGCCAUCAGAAUCAGAACGCNNNNNNNNNAUGAUGACCGGCCUUGGCCAGUGGCAUCUUUCUUAUUUUUGUCGUCUUCAUUUUGCUUCUGCGUAAAGGUCUCCUUUUGAGAAGCUGAAAACGUGC